ensembl:lncRNA
CUGCCUCCCCGGCUGCCUCCUCCCUCCCUUCCCCCCCCGCCGGGGCCGGGCCUUUAAUCCGCUCUGCCUUUGUGUCUGCCCGGCGCUGCUGCUGCUGCUGCUGCUGCUGCUGCUCUUCUUGCCCGGCCGCGAUGGAGCCUCUUUGGGGGUCCCCGCUGGCGAUGUGACGUCCAGCGUCCCCCAAAGCGAAGUCGCCGCUUCAGGGGCAGGGGCAGAAAAAUAUCAUGAUGAGAAUUGUAGAAGAACAGAUGGUUCCUCAAAUGCAGUAUCGCACCUGUUCAGGCAGCACUUUUUGCCCCAAAGUGCAUAAUGGAAGCUGCCUGUGAUAGAAACCGGAACCAAAAGCUUUGGUCUCAAUAGUCGCGGAGCU